GACAGAGGGUGCAAACGUUGUUCGGAAUUACUGGGCGUAAAGCGCGUGUAGGCUGCUCAGAAAGUUAGAUGUGAAAGCCCUGGGCUUAACCUAGGAAGUGCAUUCAAAACUACUGAGCUGGAGUCCUGGAGAGGAAGGCGGAAUUCUCGGUGUAGAGGUGAAAUGCGUAGAUAUCGAGAGGAACACCUGCGGCGAAGGCGGGUUGCUGGGCUGACACUGACGCUGAGGCGCGAAAGCUAGGGGAGCGAACGGG
rnacentral:rRNA from 1 species